rnacentral:rRNA from 1 species
AGUUGUAUCCUGGCUCCCGNUGAACGCUAGCGGCAGGCUUAACACAUGCAAGUCGAGGGGUNACAGAUGUAGCUUGCUAUAUGCUGACGACCGGCGCACGGGUGCGUAACGCGUAUAGAAUCUACCUUGUACAUAGGGAUAGCCCAGAGAAAUUUGGAUUAAUACCUUAUAGUAUUGUUGAAUGGCAUCAUUUGACACUUAAACAUUUAUGGGUACAAGAUGACUAUGCGUCCUAUUAGUUAGUUGGUAAGGUAACGGCUUACCAAGACAUCGAUAGGUAGGGGUCCUGAGAGGGAGAUCCCCCACACUGGUACUGAGACACGGACCAGACUCCUACGGGAGGCAGCAGUGAGGAAUAUUGGACAAUGGAGGCAACUCUGAUCCAGCCAUGCCGCGUGAAGGAAGACUGCCCUAUGGGUUGUAAACUUCUUUUAUAUAGGAAGAAACCGUGGUAUGUAUACCACCUUGACGGUACUAUAUGAAUAAGGACCGGCUAACUCCGUGCCAGCAGCCGCGGUAAUACGGAGGGUCCGAGCGUUAUCCGGAAUCAUUGGGUUUAAAGGGUCCGUAGGCGGGUUGAUAAGUCAGAGGUGAAAUCCCAUAGCUCAACUAUGGAACUGCCUUUGAUACUGUUAGCCUUGAGUCAUUUGGAAGUAGAUAGAAUGUGUAGUGUAGCGGUGA